GGCCGCAGUAAACUGACUGUGCUAAGGUAGCAAAAUCAUUAGUCUUUUAGUUGAAGACCAGUAUAAAAGAUUUGACAUAGAGCUCCCUGUCUCCAGGUUAAUUAGAUGUAACUUUAUGUUGAGGUAAAAAAGCCUUAUAAUAUUAAAAAGACGAUAAGACCCUAAAAUCUGCUUAAAAAAAAUUGGCUUUUAGAUUAAUUAAUAUUUGAUAUUAAGCAUACUGGGGCGGUAAUUAUUAUUUAAACAUUAAUAAGUUCAACACAUUGAGUGAUUUUUUAUAACCUUAGUGAAUAGAAUAAGAUACUUUAGGGAUAACAGCAUAAUAUACUUUUAUAGUUCAUAUUGACAAGUAUGUUUAUGACCUCGAUGUUGAAUUGAAUAAACUGUAUUUAGAAGAAUAAAUGCAAAGUAAGUCUGUUCGACUUUUAAUAAUUCACAUGAUUUGAGUUCAACCGGCG
rnacentral:rRNA from 1 species